GGAGGCAGAGGUUGCAGUGAGCCAAGAUCUUGCCAUUGCACUCCAGCCUGGGUGACAAAAUGAGACUCCAUCUAAAAAACUAAUAAUAAUAAUAAGAGAGAGGGUUUCACUAUGUUGCCCAGGCUAGAUUCGAACUCCUGGGAUCAAGUUUUCCUCAGGCCUCAGUCUCCGGAGUAGCUAGACUACAGGCAUGGACAGCAUGGUAUUGAUGUGUGAAUAAACAUAACAUAAAGGGACAGAGUGAAGUCCAGAAGUAGAGCCACACCAGUAUGGUCAAUUGUUUUCACCAAAGAAGCCAAGGUGAUUCAAUAGUUACUUCAACAAAAAAUGACUGAAAAAUUAGACUUCAUAGCCAGGCAUAGUGGUGCACGUCUGUAGUCCCAGAUACUUGGGAGGCUGAGGCAGGAGGAUUGUUUGAUCCCAGGAAUUUAAGUUUACGAUGAGCUAUAAUCGCACCACGGCACUCCAACUUGGGCAACAGAGCAAGACCCAGUCCCCCUCCACAUAAAAAAAGAACUUCCAUAUGCAAAUAAUAAUAACUUGAAAUGGCUCAUAGACCUAAAUAUAAAAACUAAAACUAAAACUAAAACUUCUAGAAAAAAUGAGGGAACAUCUUUGUGACCUUGGGUCAGGCAAAUAUUUCUUAGGUUAGACAUAAAACCCACAAAUCAAAAAAAAACUAAUACAUUGAACUUCAUUUAAAAAAAACCCCAAACUUCUGUUCUCCAAAGACACUGUUAAGAAAAGGAAAAAAACAAACCACAGACAAGAAAAAAUAUUUGCAAAAGACAUCUUAAAUAACUUUUGUCUUUUACCAGCAAAGAAUAAAUACAGAUGGCAAAUCAACACAUCAAUAGAUACUCAGCAUAAACAGCCAUUAAGGAAAAGCAAGUUAAACUCACAAUAUAGCACCACCACACAUCUACUAGAAUGACAAAAAUUAAAAAGACUGACAAUACUAAGUGCUGACAAAGAGGCAGAGCAACUGGAUAUCUCAUAUAUUGCUGCUGGGAAUGCAAAAUGAUUCAAUCACUUUGGAAAAGAUCUUGGCUGGUUUUGUUUUUAAAUAAAGUUAAACAUAUACUUAUCAUCCAGCCCAGCAAACACAGUCCUAGAUUUUUAGCUAAGAGGAAUGAAAAUGUAUGUUCACACAAAGUCUUCUCUGCAAAAGGUUAUAUCAGCUUUAUUCAUAAAAGAAAAAAAAUAGAAAUAACCCAUUUGUCUAUUAACCAAUAAGUGGAAAAACAAUUUAUGGCAGAUUUAUAGAACAGAAUACCUCUUAGCAACCUAAAGAAACAAACCAGUGAUAUAAGCAAAAUUGUGGAUUAAUCCAAAGCAUUAUGUUAAGUUAGAGAAAAGCUAGACACGAAAGACUACAUACUGUCUAAUAUUUAUAUGAAGGUGUAGCAGCCAGGCACAGUGGCUCAUGCCAGUAAUCCCAGCACUUUGGGAGGCCAAGGCAGGCGGAUCACAAGAUCAAGAGAUCGAGAUCAUCCUGGUCAACAUGAUGAAAUCCCAUCUCUACUAAAAAUACAAAAAUUAGCUGAGCGUGGUGGCGGGUGCCUAUAGUCCCAGCUGCUCAGGAGGCUGAGGCAGGAGAAUCACUUGAACCUGGGAAGCAGAGGUUGCAGUGAGCCAAGAUGGUGCCACUGCACUCCAGCCUGGCAACAGAGUGAGACUCCAUCUCAAAAAAAAAAAAAAAAAAAAA
rnacentral:lncRNA from 1 species